rnacentral:rRNA from 1 species
UACGUAGGGUGCGAGCGUUAUUCGGAUUCACUGGGCGUAAAGGGUGCGCAGGCGGCCAAGUGUGUGAGGCGUGAAAGCCUGGGGCUUAACUCCAGAAUUGCACCUCAAACUACAUGGCUAGAGCAUUGGAGAGGGUAGCAGAAUUCACGGUGUAGCAGUGAAAUGCGUAGAUAUCGUGAGGAAUACCAGAGGCGAAGGCGGCUACCUGGACAAUUGCUGACGCUCAGGCACGAAAGCGUGGGGAGCAAAAGGG